rnacentral:misc_RNA from 1 species
GAAAUGCGAUAAGUAAUGUGAAUUGCAGAAUUCAGUGAAUCAUCGAAUCUUUGAACGCACCUUGCGCUCCUUGGUAUUCCUUGGAGCAUGCCUGUUUGAGUAUCAUGAAAUCUUCAAAGUAAAUCUUUUGUUAACUCAAUUGGUUUCUACUUUGGUAUUGGAGGUCUUUGCAGCUUCACACCUGCUCCUCUUUGUUCAUUAGCUGGAUCUCAGUGUUAUGCUUGGUUCCACUCGGCGUGAUAAGUUAUCUAUCGCUGAGGACACUGUAAAAGGUGGCCAAGGUAAAUGCAGAUGAACCGCUUCUAAUAGUCCAUUGACUUGGACAAUACUUUUAUGAUCUGAUCUCAAAUCAGGUCGGACUACCCGCUGAACUUAAGA